rnacentral:lncRNA from 1 species
UUUUUGGAAUAAUUGGAAAAAUAGACAGUUUUUGAAACAUAAUUGUAGAAAUAGUACAAUUACUAUUUACAAUUAGCAAAAUCCACAUUUUACUAUGCUAUUUUAUUUCUUUGCUUUGUCAAUCCUCACCAAAACAUCUUAUUUACAACAAUGCCAUUAAUAUAUAAUUAUAUUAUAUUUUUCUUUCCUCUCAGAUUUUUAAUUAAUAUAUUUUUUUUUUCUUUUUUAUUACAUUAUCCUUUCAAUCUAAAAACUAAAAUACUAGUCAAUGAAAAUUUUUAUUUUUACAAGUUUCAAAUAUAUAAAAAUCUAUGUUUUGUUUCUCUAUUAUCUGAUAUGCAUUUUGUUUGAAGAUUUUAUUUGAUAAUAACAAAUAAUUUUUAUAAAUUUUAGAUAUGUACAACUUACUAAGUGUACAGAUGUAAUCCGUACAACUUAAAAC